AGCACAUAAGCUAAAUAAGGGCGUAUGGGGAAUGCCUAGGCUCUCAGAGGCGAUGAAGGACGUGAUAAGCUGCGAAAAGCUGCGGGGAUUGGCACACACAAAUUGAUCCGCAGAUAUCCGAAUGGGGCAACCCAGUACAUUGAAGAUGUAUUAUCCGCAAGGAGGCGAACCCGGGGAACUGAAACAUCUAAGUACCCGGAGGAGAAGAAAACAAUAGUGAUUGCGCAAGUAGCGGCGAGCGAACGCGCAUUAGCCCAAACCAAUGAGUUUACGGACUUAUUGGGGUUGUAGGACCACGAUAUUUGAUGCGUAAUGAAUUAGAACACUUUGGAAAGAGUGACCAUAGAGGGUGAUAGUCCCGUAUAGGUAAAGAGCGUUAUUGAUAGUGGUAUCCUGAGUAGUGCGGGGCACGAGAAACCCUGUAUGAAUUUGGCGGGACCAUCCGCUAAGGCUAAAUACUCCUGAGAGACCGAUAGUGAACCAGUACCGUGAGGAAAGGUGAAAAGAACCGUGAAUAACGGAGUGAAAUAGAUCCUGAAACCAUACGCUUACAAGCGGUCGGAGCCUUUAGGGGUGACGGCGUGCCUUUUGCAUAAUGAGCCUACGAGUUACCGUUGCCAGCAAGGUUAAGCCUUUAAGAGGUGGAGCCGUAGCGAAAGCGAGUCUUAAUAGGGCGCUGUAGUUGUAGUGGUAGACGCGAAACCGUGUGAUCUACCCUUGGGCAGGUUGAAGCUGUGGUAACACAUAGUGGAGGACCGAACCCGUUGACGUUGAAAAGUCUUGGGAUGACCUGAGGGUAGGGGUGAAAGGCCAAUCAAACUCGGAAAUAGCUCGUACUCCCCGAAAUGCAUUUAGGUGCAGCGAUAAUUUAGUUUUAUAGAGGUAGAGCUACUGAUUGGAUGCGGGGGCUUCACCGCCUACCAAUUCCUGACAAACUCCGAAUGCUAUAAAAUGAUUUUUAUCAGUGAGGGCAUGGGUGCUAAGGUCCAUGUCCGAGAGGGAAAGAACCCAGACCAUCAGCUAAGGUCCCCAAAUGUAUAUUAAGUUGAAAAAACGCGGUUGAACUGCCCAGACAGCUAGGAUGUUGGCUGGAAGCAGCCAUUCAUUUAAAGAGUGCGUAACAGCUCACUAGUCGAGCGGUUCGGCAUGGGAUAAUAAUCGGGCAUAAAUAUACUACCGAAGCUAUGGAUUUACAGAUUACUGUAAGUGGUAGGGGAGCAUUCUAAUAGGGUUGAAGGUGUACUGCGAGGUAUGCUGGACUAAUUAGAAAAGAAAAUGUAGGCAUAAGUAACGAUUAAUGCGGGCGAGAAACCCGCACACCGAAAGACUAAGGUUUCCUCAGCUAUGCUAAUCAGCUGAGGGUUUAGUCGGACCUAACGCGACCCGAAUGGGUUAGUGGAUGGACAACAGAUUAAUUUCUGUACCUGCCCCACGUUAAACGUGACGGAGGCGAAAAGUUAGUGCGUACUGACGGAAUAGUACGUUGAAGCCAGUGGUAACACGGCAAUAGUACACAAAAGCUUCGGCCGGCGUGAUAAUCUAGCAAAUCGACUUCCAAGAAAAGCAAGUGGUGGCAGCCCGUACCGUAAACCGACACAGGUAGUUGGGAUGAGAAUUCUAAGGUGCUCGAGAGAUUCAUGGUUAAGGAACUAGGCAAAAUCGACCCGUAACUUCGGGAGAAGGGUCGCCCAUCUUCGGAUGGGCCGCAGUGAAGAGGUCCAGGCGACUGUUUAUCAAAAACACAGGGCUCUGCUAAAUCGAAAGAUGACGUAUAGGGCCUGACACCUGCCCGGUGCUGGAAGGUUAAGAGGAGAUGUUAGCUUCGGCGACGCAUUGAAUUGAAGCCCCAGUAAACGGCGGCCGUAACUAUAACGGUCCUAAGGUAGCGAAAUUCCUUGUCGGGUAAGUUCCGACCUGCACGAAUGGUGCAACGAUCUGGACACUGUCUCAACCAUGAGCUCGGUGAAAUUGUAGUAUCGGUGAAGAUGCCGAUUACCCGCUGUGGGACGAAAAGACCCCGUGCACCUUUACUAUAGCUUAGUAUUGACUUUGGACAAGUGAUGUGUAGGAUAGGUGGGAGACGUUGAAGCUGCAUCGCUAGGU
rnacentral:rRNA from 1 species